rnacentral:rRNA from 1 species
UCCGGUUGAUCCUGCCGGAGGCCACUGCUAUGGGGGUCCGACUAAGCCAUGCGAGUCAUGGGGCGCCUUGCGCGCACCGGCGGACGGCUCAGUAACACGUCGGUAACCUACCCUCGGGAGGGGGAUAACCCCGGGAAACUGGGGCUAAUCCCCCGUAGGCCUGAGGUACUGGAAGGUCCUCAGGCCGAAAGGGUCUUUGACCGCCCGAGGAUGGGCCGGCGGCCGAUUAGGCAGUUGGUGGGGUAACGGCCCACCAAGCCGAAGAUCGGUACGGGCCAUGAGAGUGGGAGCCCGGAGAUGGACACUGAGACACGGGUCCAGGCCCUACGGGGCGCAGCAGGCGCGAAACCUCCGCAAUGCUCGAAAGAGCGACGGGGGGACCCCCAGUGCCGUGGCAUCGCCACGGCUUUUCCGGAGUGUAAAGAGCUCCGGGAAUAAGGGCUGGGCAAGGCCGGUGGCAGCCGCCGCGGUAAUACCGGCGGCCCGAGUGGUGGCCGCUAUUAUUGGGCCUAAAGCGUCCGUAGCCGGGCCAGUAAGUCCCUGGCGAAAUCCCACGGCUCAACCGUGGGGCUUGCUGGGGAUACUGCUGGCCUUGGG